GUCAGAGCCACUGAAAGUGAAGCACAACUCACCAUAAACAGGACCUCACAAGCCAUAAGCAUGAAAUUAGAUCUAAAUAUUGAUUUACUCCAUAUAAAUGUAUGUGCAAUUCCAGCCUCUGAGCUCUCUGCACAAGGAGAUUUAAUGCCUUUUCAGAAGCACAAGACUGAAACCAAAGCUGUGUUACAGUGCUCAUCACAAACUAUGCUUCGUGUUUCCCUCAGCAAGUAGCCCAUUUUGGAGCUCUCGUCCUUCACCCCAUGGGGCAGGUCGGAGCUCCCUGCACACCCUCUGCCUGGGUCUCCCCCAUGUGUUGCUCGGGCCCACCCUUAGGCCUCACUCAGGCCUGCAUCGGGCCUGCGCGUUGCCAUAGCGACGAGGCGUUGGCCGCCUACCCCUUUAAGAGCGUUCUUGGAGGCCGGAAGUGGCUCCGCGCGGCGCUCUGGUUUUCUCUUCGUCUCUGUGGUUUUCCUGCCUUUCUGCUUCCGGUGGCGGGCACCGCGAGGGGCGGCGUGGCAGGGGUCUGGGCCUGGGGUGGUCAUAGGCCGAGCUGGAGGUCAUAUUGCGGGCUGGAGGUGAGAAUAUGGGAGCUAGGUUAGUCAUUCUGGGAGUGAGGGUACAGAGGUUUGGGGAGGAGGGGUCAUAUAGCGGCUUGGGGUUAGCGCACGGGGUAUGGGAGGAAGUAGAAGGCAGAGGGGACAUGUUGGGGUCUGGGGUCAGGGUAUGGGGGGUUGCGGACAGUCAUAUUUUGGGCUGGAGAUGAAGAUACAGGGGUUUGAGAUGGUUAUACGGGGGGCUAGAGUUAAGGGUGGAGGUGAGGCUGGAGUAGAACCAGAGGGGUCAAAUUGAGGCCUGAGAGACAGGGCAGGAGAGGUUCAGAGGGUCUUAUUGGGGCUAGGGGUCAGGGAAUGGGGGUCUGGAGUAAUACUGGGGUCUGAACAGUGAGGGUGCAAGGGCUGGGGGGUUCAUAUUUGGGCUGAGGGGCAGGGUGUGAAGCAGGGAGAUGAAGGCUUGAGCAGGGCUGGGGAAUCAUUUUGCAGGCUGGGGAUCAGGGUAUGUAAGACUGGAAGGGGCACAGUGGGCACUGAGAGGCAGCAGGGUGCUGUGAGUAGUGGGGCUGUGGGGAGUAGGGACCGGGAGGGGAGGGGUGCAAAUGCAUAGGGAAUGUUCCUUGAGCAUCACAUGUCACGGGAUAUGGGGUGGUGGUUGCUUCUGGAAGAAAUACAGCCCCAACUCAUGGCUGAAGAUCACUAGGUCUUCUUGGGAAGCCAGCAUUCAUCAGGUGUUCCUGCUGACCAUGGAGUGGCUGCUGGAUCUGCACAUUCACCAAGGUGGCUGAACUGAAGAUCUGUCUGCAUUAUGGCGAGAGUGCUGCUCCUGCAGUUCUGUUUGUUUAUACCUGUGUGGUCUCUUCAGGCUAUAGAAGGUAUUUUUGCCAAAGUAGAUGGUAAAUGUGAAUAAAUUGUAGUUCUUCAAGCUCAUUGUCUUUCUUUCUUAUUUAACCCCUGGUAUUGUGAAUAAUGUAGGAAGGAUUUUAACACGCUGGAGGUGUGCAUUUAGGCAAGGAGGCGCAUAAAGCUUUUUCCUGUGCUGACGCCUGUGUCCAGGGCAGCCAUGCUGGAGGGUUGUGGUGCUUUCAAGAUCUGUAGGAGUGAUUCAUUCCUGACAGUUAAUAAAGCAAUCCUGAAGAAUGUGAGAGCACGUUUGCAGUGCGCUGAGCUCUAAUCUCCACUAGAGGGUGUGAACGUCUGCAAGAAGGGUUGUGUUUCAUUGAAACUGGGAGACUUUGUUUAAUCGGAUGUGCAGGCAGUAAGACUGUGGCAGGAUUAUGUUCCAGUUGAAAAACUGCUCUCUGUGUUGGCAGCAGCCCAAGUUGCAUCUGCUUUAUGUAACCCAUCAGCUGCACUCGCUGUGAAGCCCAUGUGAUGCUCAGCCCUUGCCAUCGUGCAUCCUGUCAUGCUUUUGGGCAAU
ensembl:lncRNA